rnacentral:misc_RNA from 1 species
UCCGAGUUGUCCCCGGCAGUCCUCUUAGAGUCCCCGGCAUUACCCGCUGGCAACUAAGAGCAGGGGUUGCGCUCGUUGCGGCACUUAAGCCAACACCUCACGGCACGAGCUGACGACAGCCAUGCAGCACCUGUGCAGGGCCCCGAAGGACACGGGCUUUCACCCGCUUUACCCUGCAUGUCAAGCCCAGGUAAGGUUCUUCGCGUUGCAUCGAAUUAAGCCACAUGCUCCGCCGCUUGUGCGGGUCCCCGUCAAUUCCUUUGAGUUUUAGCCUUGCGGCCGUACUCCCCAGGCGGGGUGCUUAAUGCGUUAGCGUCGGCACGGAGAGGGUUGAAGACCUCCCCACACCUAGCACCCAACGUUUACGGCUGGGACUAC